rnacentral:rRNA from 1 species
CGCAAGAAUGAAAACUCAAAGGAAUUGACGGGGACCCGCACAAGCGGUGGAGCAUGUGGUUUAAUUCGAAGCAACGCGAAGAACCUUACCAAGUCUUGACAUCUCCCUGACCGGUGAGUAAAGUCACCUUUCCUUCGGGACAGGGAAGACAGGUGGUGCAUGGUUGUCGUCAGCUCGUGUCGUGAGAUGUUGGGUUAAGUCCCGCAACGAGCGCAACCCUUAUUCUUAGUAGCCAGCAGGUAAAGGUGGGCACUCUGGGAAGACUGCCAGGGAUAACCUGGAGGAAGGUGGGGAUGACGUCAAAUCAUCAUGCCCCUUAUGAUUUGGGCUACACACGUGCUACAAUGGCGUAAACAAAGGGAGGCAAAGGAGUAAUCUGGAGCAAACCCCAAAAAUAACGUCUCAGUUCGGACUGUGGUCUGCAACCCGACCACACGAAGCUGGAAUCGCUAGUAAUCGCGAAUCAGAAUGUCGCGGUGAAUACGUUCCCGGGUCUUGUACACACCGCCCGUCACACCAUGGGAGUCAGCAACGCCCGAAGUCAGUGACCUAACCGAAAGGGAGGAGCUGCCGAAGGCGGGGCCGGUAACUGGGGUGAAGUCGUAACAAGGUAGCCGU